UGGGGAAUAUUGGACAAUGGGCGCAAGCCUGAUCCAGCAAUGCCGCGUGUGUGAAGAAGGCCUUCGGGUUGUAAAGCACUUUUAUCAGGAGCGAAACGCUGUCGGCUAAUACCCGGCGGAACUGACGGUACCUGAGGAAUAAGCACCGGCUAACUUCGUGCCAGCAGCCGCGGUAAUACGAAGGGUGCAAGCGUUAAUCGGAAUUACUGGGCGUAAAGCGUGCGUAGGCGGUUUCUUAAGUCUGCUGUGAAAUCCCCGGGCUCAACCUGGGAAUGGCAGUGGAUACUGGGAGGCUAGAGUGUGUCAGAGGGUGGUGGAAUUCCCGGUGUAGCGGUGAAAUGCGUAGAGAUCGGGAGGAACAUCAGUGGCGAAGGCGGCCACCUGGGACAACACUGACGCUGAGGCACGAAAGCGUGGGGAGCAAACAGGAUUAGAUACCCUGGUAGUCCACGCCCUAAACGAUGCGAACUGGAUGUUGGUCUCAACUCGGAGAUCAGUGUCGAAGCUAACGCGUUAAGUUCGCCGCCUGGGGAGUACGGUCACAAGACUGAAACUCAAAUGAAUUGACGGGGUCAUAGCUGUUU
rnacentral:rRNA from 1 species